AUCACUGCAAAGGAAUGUGAAGCGUCACUCAGCCCGAGUGACUUUGUUGGGAGUCACUACACCGGUCCAUGAGACUCUUAGAAAUUGCAAAAAUGCUCAGGAAUCCACAGAACAAUCUCUGCUAACCCUGGAGCCCUGGAAUCACCAAAUUGUCCAUCCUCGGGCCCACCAGGGGUGCUGUGGUGUCCUAGGGACUGGCCAGCUUUGAUCUCUGCCCCUUUACCCCACUGCGGGCCAUUGAGGAGACCUACAGACCAAGUACUGAGACCAAGCAGGGAGGGAAAAUAGGACAGCUUCUGGGGAGUGGUCUGGCCCCCAAAACCAUGGAGGGCAGAAACCUGGCUGCACAUAGAGGCCUCUCUGCAACUGUAUGAAGCAAGUCCAGAUGGCACAAGAUACCAAGAAACCCUGGGGGUGCCCCUCUAAGGGCAGCCAGAGUGAGGAGGGCACGGUGCCCUUCUGGAUGGAUGGCCGGAUGAGCACAGAACCACCAACCUGUAAAGAAGGCUCACAUGGAAAAGCACCAAGGAAUGUUCAGAAAACAUGUGAAGACUCUGCCUUUUCUAUUUAUGUAAUUAGCCCAAGAAACUUGCUUUGCGUACUUUCUUCAACUGCCCCAACAUUCUCCCAGAGCUCUGUUGCCUCCUCCAAGGCGCUGGGGUCUGGCUGACUUGAAAGUGUGAAUCAAUUUCAGCUGCAAAGAUCUUGAGCUCCUGGAUUUUAAGCGUGAACCCCUUGGUGAAGCAAGAGCUCCAGGAUGGCUGCCCGGCUUCGUGUCCACGCGUCCCUGUUCACCAGUGAGCCUUCCGACGCCAGGAUUCGUCUGCCCAAAGAUCCCCAUUUGGUACUUGGGUUGGGUACUGGGGAUUUUACCUCUUUCCUUUAUUUACAUCAGAGGCAACAGGCUGUGGCCUGUAGGCCUGGGGUCCGCAGAAAGGCAGCUGGGAAAGGUCUCCAUGGCCCACCACCUUAAAACAAUCUAAACAAUCCUCCGAUUCAGAGACAAUCCCAGAAGCCAAAAUGCCAAACUAAGAAGGGGAUUGGGUGGGGG
rnacentral:lncRNA from 12 species